GAGUUAAAAUAAGCGAAAGUAUAAAGGAAACGUGUGUACGACAGCUUCUUUACAUGCAUUUUGACUGCUCUCAGCACCCGUAGCGUAAGUGCACAGUUACACGCGCAAGGGAAAAAAAAGUGCGGCUGGCUUGACCGUGUAUUUCAAAGCGCGGCUGGCUUGACCGCAGUAAACCGGAAGCAGAAACCCGGAAGUGUGAAACAGGCUAAUCGCUCAGGUGUGUUUAACAGCGAAAUCGAAAGUGUUUGAAGGUCGUCUGGAUUCUGUUGUUUGUGCACAAGACCUGCUGCAGGUCAUGAUGAGCAUUCAAUUGUUUUCAUGAACCAGUCUGUUCAUCUGCAGUCUGUCAGAGAGAGAGGAAAGAUGAGUCUCUCACAGAAACAGAGUGUAAGAUCAGGAUCACAUGUGUCCAGCUCUGUGUCUGUGCAGAGUGACCGGUCAAAAGAAGGUGAGCCACCGGACUUCAGUGA